UUUUUUGUUUUUGCUGUUGAGCUGUAUAAAUUGUUUGUAUAUUUUUAGAGAUUAAGCUCUUGUCAAUUGCAUCAUUUGAAACUAUUUUCUCCCAUUCCAAAGUUUUUUUUUUUUUUUAUGGUUUCCUUUGCUGUGCAAAAGAUGUGAUAUCUUAAAUGAUGCCUUGGUUUCUUUCUUUCUUUCUUUUUUUAGGGCCUCACCCACAGCAUAUGGACGUUCCCAGGAUAGGGGUCGAAUUGGAUCUGAGCCAUGUCUGUGACCCACACCACAGCUCACGGCAACACUGGAUCCUUAACCCACUGAGCAUGGCCAGGAAUCAAACCCACAUCCUCACAGAUACUAGUCAGGUUUGUUACUGCUGAGCUACAAUGGGAACUCUGACUCCGUGGUUUCUGUUAGGGAAUAUGGGGUGGCCUUUGGGGAAGGAGUGAACUUGAUGUUGCAUAUAUUGGAUUUUAGCUGCCAAUGAAGAUGCCCAUGACUAGACAUAGAAAUUUGAUAUUCAGUGAAGACCUGAGUCAGUCCAAGAAUCUAAUCACAUAAAUGGCAAUUGCAGGAGCCCCAGCUGAAAUGGAGAGAGAGGAAGGAAAGAAGGGAAGAAAGAAAAUAGGGAAAGGAGGAAGUGCUAUUGGCUUACAUAUCUGUAAAGUCAAGGGGUAACUACUACAGCUUCAAACACAAAUGGAUCCAAGGGCCCAUGUGAUGUUACUGGUCAGUUUCCUUUCCUACCAUCUCUUGACUCUGGUGUCUCGGGUGCUGGCUGCUUAUCAAGCAAGUUGACCCUUCAUAGAAACAAGAUGUCUGCCAUCAGUUUCAGGUUUAUGUUUUAUUUUCCCAACAACCUUAACAGAAAGAAGAUGUCUCUUUUCCAAUACCUCUGACAAAAGGAGUGAUCACAAGUGAUGGGACGAGCUUGGGCCAUGUGCCAUCUCUAACCUAACACUACAGCGAGAGGGAAGAGAAUCCCUAUUUGCCACCCCUUGUCACAUGCAACCUAAAAUGCAAUCGAAUGAGAAGUAAGAGGAGCUCCCUGGUGGCACAGUGGGUUAAGGAUCUGGUGUGGUCCAUGCUGUGGCUCAGGCCACUGCUGUGGUGCAAGUUCGAUCCCUGGCCUGGGAACUUCCACAUGCCACAGGUAUGGCCAAAAAGGAAAAAAAGUGAAGUAGGAGAAAUAAGUGAUUCCCCAAGGAAAAUAUUCCAGAAAGAGGAAAAGAUGCUGGGUAGAAAGAAUAGCAGAUGUCUCAGGGGAAACAGCCUAGGAGAAACACUCCUUAGGGGCUUCUCUUCCCUAGAAGGCCUCUUUGAAGGUUGAUCUAAGGGUGCUGAUGGUCCUUAUAGUUCAAGGAGUCAAAAAAGAUUUUUUGUAAGAAACGUUAAGUCGAGAGGAUAAAUGCUGACUGAGGACAUAUCUGCCACCUAUGAAAGCAUGUAGCUCCGAUCGCUCUGUUUCACCCUCCUCCUUCUACUCCAGUAGCCAACAAGUUGACUUUGAUACCCAGCGUUCCCCAGUCUCCAGUAUCACUUUGAUCUCUGCUGUUUUAUUUGGUAGAAUGGUUGAGAAGGAUAAAAAGGAAAUUAAGGGUUCCUGUUGUGGCUCAGUGGGUACAGGACCCAACAUCGUCUUUAUGAGGAUGCAGGUUCAAUCCCUGACCUCGCUCAGUGGGUAAAGGACCCAACAUUGCUACAAGCUGCAGCGUAGUCUGCAGAUGUGGCUUGGAUCCUGCAUUGCUGUGGCUGUGGCACAGGCUGUGGAACUGCAGCUCUAAUUCAACCCCUAGCCUGAGAACUUCCAUAUGCCACGGCCAAAAAAUAAGUAAAUAAUCUAAAAAUUAAAAUGUCAAUGUCAGAAAAUAACAAGCACUGGAAAAGAAAUGGGGGAGGGCACAACUGUCAGACGUUGUGGGUGGAAGUUAUAAACUGGCGCCGUGAAUCCAGAGAGCAAGAUCUACAAAACUUAAAAGCCUGGAACCCAACAGCUCUGUUUCUAACUAGAGUCCACAGAGAAACUUCUCUCACUUGUGUACAAGGAGGCAUACACAAGGGUAUUUCCUGUUGGUAACGUGAGGGAAAGUAAGCCACUGAAAGGUCUCUUAUCAGGGAAUGGAUAAAUAAAAGAUGGCCUGUUCGUUCUGCAGAACACUGUCUAUAGUUAAGAGGAAUAAUCUAGGUCAAUGUACAUCACCACGAAAGGAUCUCAGAUAUACAGACUUGACUGAAAAGGCAAAUUGGCAGAAUGAUACAUAAAGUACAAUAUCAUUGACCGAAGUGAUUUUUAGAAAUAUAGGUUCUGGGACUAGAGAAGAGUGAAGAGGGGAUUUCUUCGACACCAGAGCAAUUUUUGGUUAAAACGCAACAUCUCCAUUUCCAAACUCUGCCAUUUCUUUCUGAAACCAUCCCCACCUUUGUCUUCCUCCUUUUCCUUUCAGUUUUUCUCUCUCUCUCCUCCCUCUGCCUCCCUCUUCCUCCCUCUCUUCCUCCCUCUCUCUCUCUCCCCCCCCCCACUCUCCUAGAAUUUCCCCUAAGUCUAAGUUCCAUGAGUGGGUUUCAGAGAAAACUAUAAAUCCCUUGACAUUAUAAGUACAAUGUCCUGUUUCUGAGUAUUAUUCCUGGGGAAUGGGCCCAUAGCUUUUAUCAGGUGACCAGAGAGGUCAGUGUAUAUGCAAUUAAAAUUCAAAGGAAAAAAUUUUAUUCAAAGGAACAUGGAACUCUGAUACAGUUUCCUUGGUCCCUCGUACCCUGGGAGUAAGAGUUAUUUCUCAUCAGGAGAAAAAAAAGAAAAGAGAGAGAAAACGUGAAGUGAUUUGUUCUGAUCCUGUUUCCACUAGCCAAGUGCCCUGGGAGAAAAUGCCCUGCCUUUGGAAACACAAACACCUCCAUCCUCCCCAGCCUUCCAGACCUCCCAUCCAUCAUCUCAGCAGGCUCUGGGCAGCAGCAGCCGGCCUCCUUCAUGGCCACACGUGACCCUUUCCAUCAGACAUCAGGGUCCAGCUCUGGCCAGCUUGUUGACAAUUAUGAAGAGUCUUCUAACCCAGGCAAGCAGCCUCUGCACCACCUAGAGUACUCCAGAGCUGGGAAAGCAUCAAGAGUCCAGGAAAGUGUCACCUGUUUGGCAGAGGAUGCCGAGGCAGUGGGCCCACACCCACCGAUCCAGGCACAGCUCCAUGGGCUCCCCAGGGCCUGGGCUCUGCAUGGGCUCCUCUGGAACCUGGGGUUGUGGGUCCCAUAGUUCUGUGCUCUAAACUCAUAGGCUGAGAUGAAGACAAAUACUACAUUCUCCUGCCAUCAGCUGAGGGUCAGUCGGGUGGCGCUGCUGAUCUUGCCUGGCCUGCUCCCAUGUUCAGGUGUCAGCUGGCUGUCAGCUGAUCUGGACCGGCCUUUGACAGGUGCCUGGGCUCGCUCUGCUCCCAGUGUUUCUCAUGCCCCAGCACUCUAGCCUGAGGUUCUCACGGCACACAGAAAGGCACAAGAGAGCAAGCACUGAGCCCAUGUCAAGCCUCUGCUCGCAUCAUAUCUGCAAAUACCCCGUUGACCAAAGCAAGUCUCAUGGCCAUGCUUGUCACCCUGCCCGCAGUGAGCAGGCACUGCAAACCAGGUAGGAGCCUGCGUUUGGGGGUCAGGCUCUGCCUCUUACCAAGGACGUCUCUUAAAUUCUCUGAGCAAAUAAGACACUACUCUUCACCUAUUGGAUUAAUGGGGAAAAAAAUAUUUUUUUUUUUUUCGCUCUGGCAAUAAAUAGUCCAGAACGGAGGUGGAGUAAUAGGCACCUUAACACAUUAUUGGUGGGAUUUUUAUUCUUUUCAAAGGGUAAUUGAAUCCUAUUUAUUGCACUAGGUUGCAAAAUGGCCCCAAUUUCUUCUCAGCCCCGUGUGCAUGUCCCCUUUUCAGUGUAACUCUGCAGCCCCUCCCCCCCAUGAAUAUGGGUAAGUCAUGUGACUUGUUUAGGCCAAAGGGGUGAUAGCAAAGGUGACCCAUGCAAAGGUUUUAACAGUACUUGUCCCUGGGGAAUGGCCUCUCUUCCCUGUACUUAGAAACCUGAAACCACUCUGCAAAUGAGCCCAAGCCAGCCUGCUAUAGGAUGAGAGGCUGCAAAGAGGCAAGUUAAGGUGCCUCAGUGGAGCUGUUUCGACUGGUCAGAUGCAUGAGUGAUCCCAGCCAGGACCAGCCACGCCAGCUGAGCCCAGGCCAACCCACCGAAUCCCAAAAUCCCAGGAAGAGCUAAUAUAAGAUGCCAGUUCAUUUCAUCACCUCCUCAUAGGGGUAAGAUUUUUCAAAAGCAGAGCUAUGAUGUUGCUUCACUCAAUCAAGAUCCAUUAAGCCCCUACCCUUCCAUGCUAGGAUUGUUCUAGGCACUGAUGAUCUAACAGUGGGGAAGCAGAGGAGUGGGGGAUGAAAAAUGUCCCUGCUUCAUAAAGCUUGUGUUCUAGGAGUAAGUGGCGGAAAAUUUUUUAAAUUACUAGGUACCAUGCGUUGAACAAUAGUGAUAAGUGCUCUGGAGAAAAACAGUAACAAUGGAGAGCAUUGUUCCAGGCGCAGUUUCAGUGGGGAUGGGGAGUGUUGCAGUGGGUCUUGUAGACAAAACCUCUGUGAGAAGGAGGUAACGUGAAGACUUGAGUGAACGCGCCUCACUGAAAUCUAGGGGGAUGGAGCUCCUGUCGUGGCUCAGUGGGUUAAGAACCCAACUAGCAUCCAUGAGGACGCAGGCUUGAUCCCUGGCCUUGCUCAGUGGGUUAAGGAUCCAGCGUGGCCAUGAGCUGUGUUUGCACGUCGCAGACGCAGCUUCGAUCUGACUUUGCUAUGGCUGUGGUGUAGGCUGGCAGCUACAGCUCCGAUUCAACCCCUAGCCUGGGCACUUCCAUAUGCCAUGGGUGAAGCCCUAAAAAGACAAAAGAGAAAGAAAUCAAUCCCAGUCCUCCUGGGAGAGGGAACGAAAAGGCAAAGAUGGACUUCCCAGGGUGGGCUGGAGCCUGGGGAGACUGUAGGAUUUGAAGGCAGAGAGAUGAAACAGGGGACAGGCUGUGUAGGAGCUUGUGGGUCACUACUAGGAGUUUCUGGUAAACUCCUGCACUGUUCCAAUUUCUUUUUUUAACCAAACGUAUGUGUUCCUUUCAAAACAAUAAUUUUGAAGAAAUAGAGCCAAAACAAAUAACAAUCCUGAGCUGCUCUCCCAGAUCCUAAUAUGAGUGGACUCUACGUGCAGUUUAUCAUAAUCCCCCGCCACUGCAUUCUUAGAGCAUUCCAGAGCCUGCUGGAGGAGACAGUCAUUGUUGGGCACAGGCUGCCCCCUGCUGGUCACAUUUGGAUGAGCACCCACAAGUGUCACCUGAAGAAGCAAAGUUGUCCCAGGAGAAGCCAGGUAUAACCAGUUAUCAGAAUGCCCUAUCUUCCUUGCCAGCAAGCUUGAAUUCCUCAGAGGCCCCUGAAGGACAGUAUGUGGGGGAAGACAUCUCCCAAAGCUUCACACACAGUCACCUCCUAUCCAUGCAUCCACUUCUGAAAGGACUCAAUUAUUUGCCCACUUGCUCAUUGGAUCCUCCACACAAACCCUGCAGGGCAACCUGGGGCAGAGUUGGGUGGGGGGUGAAGGGCUUGGUAGCCUGUCUUGCAGGUGAGAGGAUUGAGGCUUUGGGAGGCUGCGAGACUCGCAAUCAGCCUCAUGAGCCAGUGUGUGGGACCACAAGUCAGGAGCUCCCAACCCUGGAGUUCCCAUUGUGGCACAGUGGUUAACGAAUCCGACUAGGAACCAUGAGGUUGCGGGUUCGAUCCCUGGCCUCACUCAGUGGGUUUAGGAUCCGGUGUUGCCGUGAUCCCGAGUUGCUGUGGCUGUGGUGUAGGCCGGCGGCUACAGCUCCGAUUAGACCCUUAGCCUGGGAACCUCCAUAUGACACGGGAGCGGCCCUAGAAAAGGCAAAAAGACAAAAAGACAAAAAAAAAAAAAAAAAA
rnacentral:lncRNA from 1 species